GUAUAAGCAUUAUACUGCGAAACUGCGAAUGGCUCAUUAUAUAAGUUAUCGUUUACUUGAUAGCACAUUACUACUUGGAUAACCGUGGUAAUUCUAGAGCUAAUACAUGCUAAAAAUCCCGACUUCGGAAGGGAUGUAUUUAUUAGAUUAAAAACCAAUGCCCUUCGGGCUUGCUGGUGAUUCAUAAUAACUUCUCGAAUCGCAUGGCCUUGCGCCGGCGAUGGUUCAUUCAAAUCUCUUCCCUAUCAACUUUCGAUGCGAAGGUCUUGUCUUCGCAUGGUUACAACGGGUAACGGAGGGUUAGGGCUCGACCCCGGAGAAGGAGCCUGAGAAACGGCUACUACAUCCAAGGAAGGCAGCAGGCGCGCAAAUUACCCAAUCCCGACACGGGGAGGUAGUGACAAUAAAUACUGAUACAGGGCUCUUUUGGGUCUUGUAAUUGGAAUGAGUACAAUUUAAAUCUCUUAACGAGGAACAAUUGGAGGGCAAGUCUGGUGCCAGCAGCCGCGGUAAUUCCAGCUCCAAUAGCGUAUAUUAAAGUUGUUGUGGUUAAAAAGCUCGUAGUUGAACCUUGGGCCUGGCUGGCCGGUCCCCCUCACCGGGUGCACUGAUCCAGCCGGGUCUUUCCCUCUAUGGAACCCCAUGGCCUUUACUGGUCGUGGUGGGGAAAUAGGACUUUUACUUUGAAAAAAUUAGAGUGCUCCAGGCAGGCCUAUGCUCGAAUACAUUAGCAUGGAAUAAUGGAAUAGGACGUGUGGUUCUAUUUUGUUGGUUUCUAGGACCGCCGUAAUGAUUAAUAGGGACAGUCGGGGGCAUCAGUAUUCAAUUGUCAGAGGUGAAAUUCUUGGAUCUAUUGAAGACUAACUACUGCGAAAGCAUUUGCCAAGGAUGUUUUCAUUGAUAAGGAACGAAAGUUAGGGGAUCGAAGACGAUCAGAUACCGUCGUAGUCUUAACUAUAAACUAUGCCGACUAGGGAUCGGACGAUGUUGUUUAUUGACUCGUUCGGCACCUUCCGAGAAAUCAAAGUGCU
rnacentral:rRNA from 1 species